ensembl:lncRNA
UCUCUCACUCUGCAACACUAUUACUAUAUUACCUCUCUCUCUCUCUGCAACACUAUUACUAUAUUACCUCUCUCUCUCUCUCAACACUAUUACUAUAUUACCUCUCUCUCUGCAACACUAUUACUAUAUUACCUCUCUCUCUGCAACACUAUUACUAUAUUACCUCUCUCUCUCUCUGCAACACUAUUACUAUAUUACCUCUCUCUCACUCUCUGCAACACUAUUACUAUAUUACCUCUCUCUCUCUCUCUCUCUCUCUCUGCAACACUAUUACUAUAUUACCUCUCUCUCUCUCUGCAACACUAUUACUAUAUUACCUCUCUCUCUCUCUGCAACACUAUUACUAUAUUACCUCUCUCUCUCUCUCUCUCUCUCUCUGCAACACUAUUACUAUAUUACCUCUCUCUCUCUCUGCAACACUAUUACUAUAUUACCUCUCUCUCUCGCUCUCUCUCUACAACACUAUUACUAUAUUACCUCUCUCUCUCUCUGCAACACUAUUACUAUAUUACCUCUCUCUCUCGCUCUCUCUCUACAACACUAUUACUAUAUUACCUCUCUCUCUCUGCAACACUAUUACUAUAUUACCUCUCUCUCUCUCUGCAACACUAUUACUAUAUUACCUCUCUCUCUCUCUCUGCAACACUAUUACUAUAUUACCUCUCUCUCUCACUCUGCAACACUAUUACUAUAUUACCUCUCUCUCUCUCUCUCUCUCUGCAACACUAUUACUAUAUUACCUCUCUCUCUCUCUGCAACACUAUUACUAUAUUACCUCUCUCUCUCGCUCUCAACACUAUUACUAUAUUACCUCUCUCUCUGCAACACUAUUACUAUAUUACCUCUCUCUCUCUCUCUGCAACACUAUUACUAUAUUACCUCUAUCUCUCUGCAACACUAUUACUAUAUUACCUCUCUCUCUCGCUCUCAACACUAUUACUAUAUUACCUCUCUCUCUGCAACACUAUUACUGUAUUACCUCUCUCUCUGCAACACUAUUACUAUAUUACCUCUCUCUCUGCAACACUAUUACUAUAUUACCUCUCUCUCUCUCUGCAACACUAUUACUAUAUUACCUCUCUCUCUCGCUCUCAACACUAUUACUAUAUUACCUCUCUCUCUCUCUGCAACACUAUUACUAUAUUACCUCUCUCUCUCUCUGCAACACUAUUACUAUAUUACCUCUCUCUCUCUCUCUCUCUGCAACACUAUUACUAUAUUACCCCUCUCUCUCUCUCUCAACACUAUUACUAUAUUACCUCUCUCUCUCUCUCUCUCUGCAACACUAUUACUAUAUUACCUCUAUCUCUCUCUCUCUCAACACUAUUACUAUAUUACCUCUCUCUCUCUCUGCAACACUAUUACUAUAUUACCUCUCUCUCUCUCUGCAACACUAUUACUAUAUUACCUCUCUCUCUCUCUCUCAACACUAUUACUAUAUUACCUCUCUCUCUCUCUGCAACACUAUUACUAUAUUACCUCUCUCUCUCUCUCUCUCAACACUAUUACUAUAUUACCUCUCUCUCUCUCUGCAACACUAUUACUAUAUUACCUCUCUCUCUCUCUCUCUCAACACUAUUACUAUAUUACCUCUCUCUCUCUCUGCAACACUAUUACUAUAUUACCUCUCUCUCUCUCUGCAACACUAUUACUAUAUUACCUCUCUCUCUCUCUCUGCAACACUAUUACUAUAUUACCUCUCUCUCUCUCUGCAACACUAUUACUAUAUUACCUCUCUCCCUCUCUGCAACACUAUUACUAUAUUACCUCUCUCUCUCUCUCUCUCAACACUAUUACUAUAUUACCUCUCUCUCUCUCUCUCUCAACACUAUUACUAUAUUACCUCUCUCUCUCUCUGCAACACUAUUACUAUAUUACCUCUCUCUCUCUCUCUGCAACACUAUUACUAUAUUACCUCUCUCUCUCUCUGCAACACUAUUACUAUAUUACCUCUCUCUCUCUCUGCAACACUAUUACUAUAUUACCUCUCUCUCUCUCUGCAACACUAUUACUAUAUUACCUCUCUCUCUCUCUGCAACACUAUUACUAUAUUACCUCUCUCUCUCUGCAACACUAUUACUAUAUUACCUCUCUCUCUCUCUCUCUCUCUCUGCAACACUAUUACUAUAUUACCUCUCUCUCUCUCUCUCUCUCUCUGCAACACUAUUACUAUAUUACCUCUCUCUCUCUCUCUCUCUCAACACUAUUACUAUAUUACCUCUAUCUCUCUCUCUCUCUCUCUCUCUGCAACACUAUUACUAUAUUACCUCUCUCUCUCUCUGCAACACUAUUACUAUAUUACCUCUCUCUCUCUCUGCAACACUAUUACUAUAUUACCUCUCUCUCUCUCUCUCUCUGCAACACUAUUACUAUAUUACCUCUCUCUCUCUCUCUCUCUCAACACUAUUACUAUAUUACCUCUCUCUCUCUCUCUCUCUCUCUGCAACACUAUUACUAUAUUACCUCUCUCUCUCUCUCUGCAGCACUAUUACUAGAUUACCUCUCUCUCUGCAACACUAUUACUAUAUUACCUCUCUCUCUCUGCAACACUAUUACUAUAUUACCUGUCUCUCUCUGCAACACUAUUACUAUAUUACCUCUCUCUCUCUCUGCAACACUAUUACUAUAUUACCUCUCUCUCUCUGCAACACUAUUACUAUAUUACCUCUCUCUCUCUCUCUGCAACACUAUUACUAUAUUACCUCUCUCUCUCUCUCUGCAACACUAUUACUAUAUUACCUCUCUCUCUCUGCAACACUAUUACUAUAUUACCUCUCUCUCUCUCUCUGCAACACUAUUACUAUAUUACCUCUCUCUCUCUCUCUGCAACACUAUUACUAUAUUACCUCUCUCUCUCUGCAACACUAUUACUAUAUUACCUCUCUCUCUCUCUCUGCAACACUAUUACUAUAUUACCUCUCUCUCUCUCUCUGCAACACUAUUACUAUAUUACCUCUCUCUCUCUCUGCAACACUAUUACUAUAUUACCUCUCUCUCUCUCUGCAACACUAUUACUAUAUUACCUCUCUCUCUCUGCAACACUAUUACUAUAUUACCUCUCUCUCUCUGCAACACUAUUACUAUAUUACCUCUCUCUCUCUCUGCAACACUAUUACUAUAUUACCUCUAUCUCUCUCACUCUCUGCAACACUAUUACUAUAUUACCUCUCUCUCUCUGCAACAAUAUUACUAUAUUACCUCUCUCUCUCUCUCUCUCUCUGCAACACUAUUACUAUAUUACCUCUCUCUCUCUCUGCAACACUAUUACUAUAUUACCUCUAUCUCUCUCACUCUCUGCAACACUAUUACUAUAUUACCUCUCUCUCUCUCUGCAACAAUAUUACUAUAUUACCUCUCUCUCUCUCUCUCUCUCUGCAACACUAUUACUAUAUUACCUCUCUCUCUCUCUGCAACACUAUUACUAUAUUACCUCUCUCUCUCUGCAACACUAUUACUAUAUUACCUCUUUCUCUCUCUCUGCAACACUAUUACUAUAUUACCUCUCUCUCUCUCUCUGCAACACUAUUACUAUAUUACCUCUCUCUCUCUCUGCAACACUAUUACUAUAUUACCUCUCUCUCUCUGCAACACUAUUACUAUAUUACCUCUCUCUCUCUCUCUGCAACACUAUUACUAUAUUACCUCUCUCUCUCUCUCUGCAACACUAUUACUAUAUUACCUCUCUCUCUGCAACACUAUUACUAUAUUACCUCUCUCUCUCUCUCUGCAACACUAUUACUAUAUUACCUCUCUCUCUCUCUGCAACACUAUUACUAUAUUACCUCUCUCUCUCUCUGCAACACUAUUACUAUAUUACCUCUCUCUCUCUGCAACACUAUUACUAUAUUACCUCUCUCUCUCUGCAACACUAUUACUAUAUUACCUCUCUCUCUCUCUGCAACACUAUUACUAUAUUACCUCUAUCUCUCUCACUCUCUGCAACACUAUUACUAUAUUACCUCUCUCUCUCUGCAACACUAUUACUAUAUUACCUCUCUCUCUCUCUGCAACACUAUUACUAUAUUACCUCUAUCUCUCUCACUCUCUGCAACACUAUUACUAUAUUACCUCUCUCUCUCUCUGCAACAAUAUUACUAUAUUACCUCUCUCUCUCUCUCUCUCUCUGCAACACUAUUACUAUAUUACCUCUCUCUCUCUCUGCAACACUAUUACUAUAUUACCUCUCUCUCUCUCUGCAACACUAUUACUAUAUUACCUCUAUCUCUCUCACUCUCUGCAACACUAUUACUAUAUUACCUCUCUCUCUCUCUCUCUCUCUCUCUGCAACACUAUUACUAUAUUACCUCUCUCUCUCUCUGCAACACUAUUACUAUAUUACCUCUCUCUCUCUCUGCAACACUAUUACUAUAUUACCUCUCUCUCUCUCUGCAACACUAUUACUAUAUUACCUCUCUCUCUCUGCAACACUAUUACUAUAUUACCUCUCUCUCUCUCUGCAACACUAUUACUAUAUUACCUCUCUCUCUCACUCUGCAACACUAUUACUAUAUUACCUCUCUCUCUCUCUCUCUCUGCAACACUAUUACUAUAUUACCUCUCUCUCUCUCUGCAACACUAUUACUAUAUUACCUCUCUCUCUCGCUCUCAACACUAUUACUAUAUUACCUCUCUCUCUCUCUCUCUCUGCAACACUAUUACUAUAUUACCUCUCUCUCUCUCUCAACACUAUUACUAUAUUACCUCUCUCUCUCUCUCUCUCUCUGCAACACUAUUACUAUAUUACCUCUCUCUCUCUCUCUCUCUCAACACUAUUACUAUAUUACCUCUCUCUCUCUCUCUCUCUCUCUCUCUCUCUCUCUGCAACACUAUUACUAUAUUACCUCUCUCUCUCUCUCUGCAGCACUAUUACUAGAUUACCUCUCUCUCUGCAACACUAUUACUAUAUUACCUCUCUCUCUCUGCAACACUAUUACUAUAUUACCUCUCUCUCUCUCUCUGCAACACUAUUACUAUAUUACCUCUCUCUAUCUCUCUGCAACACUAUUACUAUAUUACCUCUCUCUCUCUCUGCAACACUAUUACUAUAUUACCUCUCUCUCUCUGCAACACUAUUACUAUAUUACCUCUCUCUCUCUACAACACUAUUACUAUAUUACCUCUCUCUCUCUGCAACACUAUUACUAUAUUACCUCUCUCUCUCUCUCUCUCUCACUCUGCAACACUAUUACUAUAUUACCUCUCUCUCUCUCUGCAACACUAUUACUAUAUUACCUCUCUCUCUCUCUGCAACACUAUUACUAUAUUACCUCUCUCUCUCUGCAACACUAUUACUAUAUUACCUCUCUCUCUCUCUGCAACACUAUUACUAUAUUACCUCUCUCUCUCUCUGCAACACUAUUACUAUAUUACCUCUCUCUCUCUCUGCAACACUAUUACUAUAUUACCUCUCUCUCUCUCUGCAACACUAUUACUAUAUUACCUCUCUCUCUCUGCAACACUAUUACUAUAUUACCUCUCUCUCUCUCUGCAACACUAUUACUAUAUUACCUCUCUCUCUCUCUGCAACACUAUUACUAUAUUACCUCUCUCUCUCGCUCUCAACACUAUUACUAUAUUACCUCUCUCUCUCUCUCUCUCUGCAACACUAUUACUAUAUUACCUCUCUCUCUCUCUCUCUCUCAACACUAUUACUAUAUUACCUCUCUCUCUCUCUCUCUCUCUGCAACACUAUUACUAUAUUACCUCUCUCUCUCUCUCUCUCUCAACACUAUUACUAUAUUACCUCUCUCUCUCUCUCUCUCUCUCUCUCUCUCUCUGCAACACUAUUACUAUAUCACCUCUCUCUCUCUCUGCAGCACUAUUACUAGAUUACCUCUCUCUCUGCAACACUAUUACUAUAUUACCUCUCUCUCUCUGCAACACUAUUACUAUAUUACCUGUCUCUCUCUGCAACACUAUUACUAUAUUACCUCUCUCUCUCUGCAACACUAUUACUAUAUUACCUCUUUCUCUCUCUCUCUGCAACACUAUUACUAUAUUACCUCUCUCUCUCUCUCUCUGCAACACUAUUACAAUAUUACCUCUCUCUCUCUCUGCAACACUAUUACUAUAUUACCUCUCUCUCUCUGCAACACUAUUACUAUAUUACCUCUCUCUCUCUCUGCAACACUAUUACUAUAUUACCUCUAUCUCUCUCACUCUCUGCAACACUAUUACUAUAUUACCUCUCUCUCUCUCUGCAACAAUAUUACUAUAUUACCUCUCUCUCUCUCUCUCUCUCUGCAACACUAUUACUAUAUUACCUCUCUCUCUCUCUCUCUCUCUGCAACACUAUUACUAUAUUACCUCUCUCUCUCUCUCUCUCAACACUAUUACUAUAUUACCUCUCUCUCUCUCUCUCUCUCUCUCUCUCUCUGCAACACUAUUACUAUAUCACCUCUCUCUCUCUCUGCAGCACUAUUACUAGAUUACCUCUCUCUCUGCAACACUAUUACUAUAUUACCUCUCUCUCUCUGCAACACUAUUACUAUAUUACCUGUCUCUCUCUGCAACACUAUUACUAUAUUACCUCUCUCUCUCUGCAACACUAUUACUAUAUUACCUCUUUCUCUCUCUCUCUGCAACACUAUUACAAUAUUACCUCUCUCUCUCUCUGCAACACUAUUACUAUAUUACCUCUCUCUCUCUGCAACACUAUUACUAUAUUACCUCUCUCUCUCUGCAACACUAUUACUAUAUUACCUCUCUCUCUCUCUGCAACACUAUUACUAUAUUACCUCUCUCUCUCUGCAACACUAUUACUAUAUUACCUCUCUCUCUCUGCAACACUAUUACUAUAUUACCUCUCUCUCUCUGCAACACUAUUACUAUAUUACAUCUCUCUCUCUCUGCAACACUAUUACUAUAUUACCUCUCUCUCUCUCUCUGCAACACUAUUACUAUAUUACCUCUCUCUCUCUCUCUCUCUCUCUGCAACACUAUUACUAUAUUACCUCUCUCUCUCUCUCUGCAACACUAUUACUAUAUUACCUCUCUCUCUCUCUCUCUCUCAACACUAUUACUAUAUUACCUCUCUCUCUCUCUCUCUCUCUGCAACACUAUUACUAUAUUACCUCUCUCUCUCUCUCUCUCUCUGCAACACUAUUACUAUAUUACCUCUCUCUCUCUCUCUCUCUCAACACUAUUACUAUAUUACCUCUCUCUCUCUCUCUCUCUCUCUCUCUCUCUCUGCAACACUAUUACUAUAUUACCUCUCUCUCUCUCUCUGCAACACUAUUACUAUAUUACCUCUCUCUCUCUCUCUGCAACACUAUUACUAUAUUACCUCUCUCUCUCUCUCUCUCUCAACACUAUUACUAUAUUACCUCUCUCUCUCUCUCUCUCUCUGCAACACUAUUACUAUAUUACCUCUCUCUCUCUCUCUCUCUCAACACUAUUACUAUAUUACCUCUCUCUCUCUGCAACACUAUUACUAUAUUACAUCUCUCUCUCUCUGCAACACUAUUACUAUAUUACCCCACUCUCUCUGCAACACUAUUACUAUAUUACCUCUCUCCCUCUUUCUCUGCAACACUAUUACUAUAUUACCUCUCUCUCUCUCUCAACACUAUUACUAUAUUACCUCUCUCUCUCUCUCUCUCUCUCUCUCUCUCUCUCUGCAACACUAUUACUAUAUUACCUCUCUCUCUCUCUGCAACACUAUUACUAUAUUACCUCUCUCUCUCUCUGCAACACUAUUACUAUAUUACCUCUCUCUCUCUGCAACACUAUUACUAUAUUACCUCUCUCUCUCUCUGCAACACUAUUACUAUAUUACCUCUCUCUCUCUCUCUCUCUCUCUGCAACACUAUUACUAUAUUACCUCUCUCUCUCUCUCUCUCUCUCUGCAACACUAUUACUAUAUUACCUCUCUCUCUCUGCAACACUAUUACUAUAUUACCUCUCUCUCUCUCUGCAACACUAUUACUAUAUUACCUCUCUCUCUCUCUCUCUCUCUCUGCAACACUAUUACUAUAUUACCUCUCUCUCUCUCUGCAACACUAUUACUAUAUUACCUCUCUCUCUCUCUGCAACACUAUUACUAUAUUACCUCUCUCUCUCUGCAACACUAUUACUAUAUUACCUCUCUCUCUCUGCAACACUAUUACUAUAUUACCUCUCUCUCUCUCUGCAACACUAUUACUAUAUUACCUCUCUCUCUCUCUGCAACACUAUUACUAUAUUACCUCUCUCUCUGCAACACUAUUACUAUAUUACCUCUCUCUCUCUCUGCAACACUAUUACUAUAUUACCCCUCUCUCUCUGCAACACUAUUACUAUAUUACCUCUCUCUCUGCAACACUAUUUCUAUAUUACCUCUCUCUCUCUCUCUACAACACUAUUACUAUAUUACCUCUCUCUCUCUGCAACACUAUUACUAUAUUACCUCUCUCUCUCUCUCUGCAACACUAUUACUAUAUUACCUCUCUCUCUGCAACACUAUUACUAUAUUACCUCUCUCUCUCUCUCUGCAACACUAUUACUAUAUUACCUCUCUCCCUCUUUCUCUGCAACACUAUUACUAUAUUACCUCUCUCUCUCUCUCUCUCUCUGCAACACUAUUACUAUAUUACCUCUCUCUCUCUCUCUGCAACACUAUUACUAUAUUACCUCUCUCCCUCUUUCUCUGCAACACUAUUACUAUAUUACCUCUCUCUCUCUCUCUCUCUCUGCAACACUAUUACUAUAUUACCUCUCUCUCUCUGCAACACUAUUACUAUAUUACCUCUCUCUCUCUGCAACACUAUUACUAUAUUACCUCUCUCUCUCUCUCUCUCUCGCUCUCUCUCGCUCUCCCCCUCCCUCCCUCCCUCCCUCCCACCAAUCAGUGAUGGAGGUCGCCAGGAAACAUUACAUAAACCUCUGAGAUAUAGAUAUAUAAAAUUCAACCAUUUUUGGUAUUAUAACUCUGAGCUCCCACACACACACAAGAGCUCUGGGCAACCCCCACAUCCCCCACCUCUCUCAGGGCUGGGCUGGGUUAAUGCAUACUGA